UACGUAGGGGGCAAGCGUUGUCCGGAAUUAUUGGGCGUAAAGGGCACGCAGGCGGUGGUUUAAGUUUGGUGUUUAAUCCCAGGGCUCAACCCUGGUACGCACUGAAAACUGGAUCACUUGAGUACAGAAGAGGAGAGCGGAAUUCCACGUGUAGCGGUGAAAUGCGUAGAGAUGUGGAGGAACACCAGUGGCGAAGGCGACUCUCUGGUCUGUAACUGACGCUGAGGUGCGAAAGCGUGGGUAGCAAACAGG
rnacentral:rRNA from 1 species